rnacentral:rRNA from 1 species
CAGCAGUCGCCGCGGUAAAACGAGGGGUGCAAGCGUUAUUCGGAUUGAUUGGGUGUAAAGGGUGUGCAGACGGCUUAUUAAGUCACUUGUUAAAUUCUUCGGCCUAACUGAAGGUCUGCAAGUGAUACUGAUGAGCUAGAGGGUGGAAGAGAGAAGUGGAAUUCUCGGAGUAACGGUAAAAUGCGUAGAUCUCGAGAGGAACACCAAUGGCGAAGGCAGCUUCUUGGUCCAUUCCUGACGUUCAUACACGAAAGCGUGGGGAGCAAACAGGAUUAGAUACCCCAGUAGUCCCUGUCUCUUAUAC